AAUAGGGGCCGGCUGAAUGGGCUUUGUGUGACCGCCAGGGUCUGCCUGCUUUACAUGCUCUUUGACCCAGAUAUGAUCUCAUGGAGAGAAAGGGGCCCGGCCAGGCCAGCCUGAGAACGCUCCUCCGAGGCCGCCGCAGCCCCUCCUCCCUCCCUGGGCAGCGGGCCGCAGCUGCCCUCUGCCCCAGUCCGCUGCGUGGGCAACUGCCUCCAGGACAGGCCCCGCCAGGGGUGGGGGUGGGGUGGGGCACGAGGCUGAGGUCAGAGGAGGGGACAGGCAGCUGGGCUAGAAAGAUACAGCCCCAGGUUGGGUGGUUAAGGGAUCUUCCUAGUUGUGUUCCCUGGGGUGGUUGCCCGAGAGCCGCCUUCACGCACAUUAGCAACACACUGCCACCUUGCUGGCCCUUCCUGUCCAGUCGUCUCUGCCUACUCCCUAGGUUCUGAUACAUACUUGAUAGCUCUCUUUUCAUUGGCUCUGGAUGUCCCCCAGGGAGCAGAGCUGAAGGCCCAGAACUAACAGAAGCCCUCAGAAGACCCACAAGCGUGUGGCAGGUGAAAAAAAAAAAAAAAAAAAAAAAGAUCAAGGACGUCUCCAUCCAGUCAGCAGCCACUUCUUCACCCUCCACAGCCAAGAGGCCUUCCACCUGGUUACCAGUGGAGCCCCUUCCCUUCUUCCAUCCUGUAUUUUGCCUGCAGUGAAUGAACCCCUCCCUACAGAUAACAGAUCACUCCUUUGAAGAGUCUCUGAGGUUCUUCAUUACUCCUAGAACAGGGUCCAACUGCCCCAAUGAGACCUCAGUGGCAGUGCCUGCUUGACACAACCAAUCUGUCCUCCAGAUCCACCCCGACCUUGCUCUAGUCAGUUUGAUCACCAGGAUGGUUUCAGGAUCCUGCACUCUGAUCCUCUCAGCUUCCCAGAAGUCUUGUUUCAUCUCAAGCUUUGUGCCUUUCUGAGGAAACCUCUCCCACAUGCCUGCGUCUGAAUUAGGUGCCCUGCUCUGCAGACCUUCCUUCUACCUCUGUCAUCAUGGUGCAUUUCAGUCACCUAAGCUCGAUGUUGUUCUCACCUCCAGAUAUCAAGUUCCUUGAGGUUAGGAACCAUGUUCGCUAUAACUUGGUGUUCCUAGAGCCUAACACUGCACUUGGCAGGUGCCCAAUAAAUCUUUGUUGAAUACAUGGAAGGAAAAAAUAGAGAGCGGAAAGAAAGGGAGGCAAUUAGCUCUCUGAACUGAAGAUGCAGUUGUCAAGGGUGAGGGAAAUGAGCUAAGUAAGAAGCCCCUCACAUGUCCAUCUAGGCACCUCCCUGUGGAUAUCAAGGACUGAUGUGCAUGCGAAGAGGGGCUCAGUGUGGGCUCCUGUUUCUGCACGCCUGUGCCUGUAUUUGUUCCUAAGGUCACCCUGAAGGAAGAAGGUGUAACAGACUCGGGAAGGUGGCAUUUUACAGCUGAGGACUCCCUGGCUUGGCAUGCCUAGGAUGAGACGCUUCCAUGCAGAAGUGAGAUAGGAGCUUAGCACAGCUGUCCUCUGACUGGCUCCACCCAGCAAUGGAUCAAAACAGAUGCUGAGACUCACAGCCAAACAUUGGGCGGAGUGCAGGAAGCCUUGUGGAAGAGGGAAGAAAGAUAAAAGGACCUGGAGGCAACAGCAACUCUACAAGAAGACCAACAGAGCCAACUAAUCAGGGACCAAAGGGGACUGCAGAGACUGAAGCACCCACCAAAGGACCAUGCACGAACUGGACCUAGGCCUCCUACACAGAUGUACCCAAUGGACAGCCUGGUCUUCAUAUGGGUUUCCUAGUAAGGGGAGCAUGGGCUAUCUCUUAUAUGGACUCUGUUGCCUGCUUUCUGAUCACUUCCCCAUGGUGGGGAAGGCCAGGCCCUUGAGGAAGAGGAUGCACUUGGUCUUGAUGCGUUCUGAUGUGCUGGGGUGGGUUGUGGUUGGUGGAGCUGCCCUUUUCUGAAGGGUAGGAGAAGGGGGAUAUGCAGAAGAGGAAGGGAAGGUGGAACCAGGAGAGGAGAGGAGAGAGGGGGCUAUGAUUGGGAUAUAAAGUGAAUAAAUUAGGUAUUUUUUAAAAAUCCAAAAUAAAAAGUAAAUGAAUUCCCAGUUCACUGUCAGCUCUAUACUGUCUGUCAGCUGGUCCUCCUGUCCCUUAACAUGUGUUUGGAAUAGACAAUCUUAACUGUCACAUACUCAAAUUUAUAAACCUUUUGCUUAUUAA